rnacentral:tRNA from 1 species
AGCAGAAAGGGCGGCCGAGGAUUGCAAAUCCGUGUAGGUCGGUUCGACUCCGGCCCGCGCCUCCA